rfam:Oryza sativa (indica cultivar-group) chromosome 3, whole genome shotgun sequence.
UGAUCUUUUUCCUAAUCAAACUUUUUAAAAUUUGACCAAAUUUAUAGAAAACAUAGUAGUAUUUUCAACACAAAAGAAAUAUAUUAUCAAAAUAUAUUCCAUGUUAGAUUUAAUGAAACUAAUUUGGUGUUUUAGAUGCUACUGAAUUUUUCUAUAAAUUUGGUGAAACUUACAAAAGUUUGACUAGGAAAAAAGUUAAA